rnacentral:rRNA from 1 species
CCCUUAGAUGUUCUGGGCCGCACGCGCGCUACACUGACGAAGUCAGCGAGCAUCUCCUACGCCGAAAGGUGCGGGGAAUCUUGUGAAACUUUGUCGUGCUGGGGAUUGAUUUUUGAAAUUCUUGAUCAUCAACGAGGAAUUCCUAGUAAGCGCAAGUCAGCAGCUUGCGUUGAUUACGUCCCUGCCCUUUGUACACACCGCCCGUCGCACCUACCGAUUGGAUGGUCCGGUGAAGCCUCGGGAUUGUGGUUCUUGCCGCUUUAUUGUGGCGUGACCGCGAGAACUUGUCUAAACCUUAUCAUCUAGAGGAAGGUGAAGUCGUAACA